UACGUAGGGGGCAAGCGUUGUCCGGAAUCAUUGGGCGUAAAGAGCGUGUAGGCGGCCAGAAAAGUCCGCUGUGAAAACUCGAGGCUCAACUUCGAGCUGUCGGUGGAAACUUUCUGGCUAGAGUCCGGAAGAGGAGAAUGGAAUUCCUGGUGUAGCGGUGAAAUGCGCAGAUAUCUGGAGGAACACCGGUGGCGAAGGCGGCAUCCUGGACCAAUACUGACGCUGAGGAGCGAAAGCCAGGGGAGCAAACGGG
rnacentral:rRNA from 1 species